AAUAGAUACCCAGGUAGUCCACGCCGUAAACGAUGGAUACUAGCUGUUCGGUCGCAAGAUUGAGUGGCUAAGCGAAAGUGAUAAGUAUCCCACCUGGGGAGUACGAACGCAAGUUUGAAACUCAAAGGAAUUGACGGGGGCCCGCACAAGCGGUGGAGCAUGUGGUUUAAUUCGAUGAUACGCGAGGAACCUUACCAAGGCUUAAAUGUAUAUUGACAGGACUGGAAACAGUUUUUUCUUCGGACAAUUUACAAGGUGCUGCAUGGUUGUCGUCAGCUCGUGCCGUAAGGUGUCAGGUUAAGUCCUAUAACGAGCGCAACCCCUGUUGUUAGUUGCCAGCGAGUCAAGUCGGGAACUCUAACAAGACUGCCAGUGUAAACUGUGAGGAAGGUGGGGAUGACGUCAAAUCAUCACGGCCCUUACGCCUUGGGCUACACACGUGCUACAAUGGCCGGUACAGAGAGCAGCCACUGCGCGAGCAGGAGCGAAUCUAAGUAAAACCGGUCACAGUUCGGAUCGGAGU
rnacentral:rRNA from 1 species